UACGUAGGGUGCAAGCGUUGUCCGGAAUUAUUGGGCGUAAAGAGCUCGUAGGCGGUUUGUCGCGUCUGCUGUGAAAACUCGGGGCUUAACCCCGGGCCUGCAGUGGGUACGGGCAGACUAGAGUGCGGUAGGGGAGACUGGAAUUCCUGGUGUAGCGGUGAAAUGCGCAGAUAUCAGGAGGAACACCGGUGGCGAAGGCGGGUCUCUGGACCGAUACUGACGCUGAGGAGCGAAAGCGUGGGGAGCGAACAGG
rnacentral:rRNA from 1 species